GUCGAACGAGAACGGGUUAUAGCUUGCUAUAAUUGUCAGCUAAGUGGCGCACGGGUGAGUAAUGUAUAGGUAAUAUGCCUUUUACUAAGGGAUAACAGAUGGAAACGUUUGCUAAUACCUUAUACUCCGUUUAUGUAUAAAUGUAAAUGGGAAAGAUUUAUCGGUAAGAGAUUGGCCUGUAUUGUAUCAGUUAGUUGGUGGGGUAAUGGCCUACCAAGACAAUGACGCAUAACUGGUUUGAGAGGAUGAUCAGUCACACUGGAACUGAGACACGGUCCAGACUCCUACGGGAGGCAGCAGUGGGGAAUAUUGCACAAUGGACGGAAGUCUGAUGCAGCAACGCCGCGUGGAGGAUGACACAUUUCGGUGCGUAAACUCCUUUUAUAUAAGAAGAUAAUGACGGUAAUAUAUGAAUAAGCACCGGCUAACUCCGUGCCAGCAGCCGCGGUAAUACGGGGGGUGCAAGCGUUACUCGGAAUCACUGGGCGUAAAGAGCAUGUAGGCGGAUUGAUAAGUUUGAAGUGAAAUCCUAUAGCUUAACUAUAGAACUGCUUUGAAAACUGUUAAUCUAGAAUGUGGGA
rnacentral:rRNA from 1 species